rnacentral:rRNA from 2 species
GCAUGUGGUUUAAUUCGAAGCAACGCGAAGAACCUUACCAGGUCUUGACAUCCUCUGACAACCCUAGAGAUAGGGCUUUCCCCUUCGGGGGACAGAGUGACAGGUGGUGCAUGGUUGUCGUCAGCUCGUGUCGUGAGAUGUUGGGUUAAGUCCCGCAACGAGCGCAACCCUUGAUCUUAGUUGCCAGCAUUCAGUUGGGCACUCUAAGAUGACUGCCGGUGACAAACCGGAGGAAGGUGGGGAUGACGUCAAAUCAUCAUGCCCCUUAUGACCUGGGCUACACACGUGCUACAAUGGACGGUACAAAGGGCUGCAAGACCGCGAGGUUUAGCCAAUCCCAUAAAACCGUUCUCAGUUCGGAUUGUAGGCUGCAACUCGCCUACAUGAAGCUGGAAUCGCUAGUAAUCGCGGAUCANCAUGCCGCGGUGAAUACGUUCCCGGGCCUUGUACACACCGCCCGUCACACCAC